AUUUUAUGGAGAGUUUGAUCCUGGCUCAGGAUGAACGCUGGCGGCGUGCCUAAUACAUGCAAGUCGAGCGAACGGACGAGAAGCUUGCUUCUCUGAUGUUAGCGGCGGACGGGUGAGUAACACGUGGAUAACCUACCUAUAAGACUGGGAUAACUUCGGGAAACCGGAGCUAAUACCGGAUAAUAUUUUGAACCGCAUGGUUCAAAAGUGAAAGACGGUCUUGCUGUCACUUAUAGAUGGAUCCGCGCUGCAUUAGCUAGUUGGUAAGGUAACGGCUUACCAAGGCAACGAUGCAUAGCCGACCUGAGAGGGUGAUCGGCCACACUGGAACUGAGACACGGUCCAGACUCCUACGGGAGGCAGCAGUAGGGAAUCUUCCGCAAUGGGCGAAAGCCUGACGGAGCAACGCCGCGUGAGUGAUGAAGGUCUUCGGAUCGUAAAACUCUGUUAUUAGGGAAGAACAUAUGUGUAAGUAACUGUGCACAUCUUGACGGUACCUAAUCAGAAAGCCACGGCUAACUACGUGCCAGCAGCCGCGGUAAUACGUAGG
rnacentral:rRNA from 1 species